AUUACAUUCAGGAAGCCCGUAAACCCCAAAUAAUUUUUUUUUUCAUUUUUUAUUUUUUAUUUGGUCUAACUAACUCCAAAAGGUUGGAAAAGAGUUCCUACAAAGGUUUUGGACAGUGAUUUUAACCCUAACGCCAAAAACCUUAAACCUUACCAUAGCCCCAUAACCUAAUACCCGGGUAUUACUUUUAGUAAGCCUGAACACCCCAAAUAUAUUUUUUUUAAUUUUUCAUUUUUUUUUGGUCUAACUAACUCCAAAAGGUUGGAAAAGAGUUCCUACAAAGGUUUUGGACAGUGAUUUUAACCCUAACGCCAAAACCCUUAAACCUUUCCCUAGUCCCAAAACCUAAUACACGGGUAUUACUUUCAGGGAGCCCGAAAACCCCCAAUAAUAUUUUUUUCUUUUUUCAUAUUUUUUGGUCUAACUAACUCCAAAAGGUUGGAAAAGAGUUCCUACAAAGGUUUUGGACAGUGAUUUUAACCCUAACGCCAAAAACCUUAAACCUUACCAUAGCCUUAAAAUCUAAUACCCGGGUAUUACAUUCAGGAACCCCGAAAACCCCAAAUAUUUUUUUUUUCAUUUUUCAUUUUUUUUUGGUCUAACUAACUCCAAAAGGUUGGAAAAGAGUUCCUACAAAGGUUUUGGACAGUGAUUUUAACCCUAACGCCAAAAAACUUAAACCUUACCAUAGCCCCAAAACCUAAUACCCGGGUAUUACUUUCAGGGAGCCCGAAAACCCCCAAUAAUAUUUUUUUCUUUUUUCAUAUUUUUUGGUCUAACUAACUCCAAAAGGUUGGAAAAGAGUUCCUACAAAGGUUUUGGACAGUGAUUUUAACCCUAACGCCAAAAACCUUAAACCUUACCCUAGCCUUAAAACCUAAUACCCGGGUAUUACUUUCAGGGACCCCGAAAACCCCAAAUCAUUUUUUUUUCAUUUUUCAUUUUUUUUUGGUCUAACUAACUCCAAAAGGUUGGAAAAGAGUUCCUACAAAGGUUUUGGACAGUGAUUUUAACCCUAACGCCAAAAAACUUAAACCUUACCAUAGCCCCAAAACCUAAUACCCGGGUAUUACUUUCAGGGAGCCCGAAAACCCCCAAUAAUAUUUUUUUCUUUUUUCAUACUUUUUGGUCUAACUAACUCCAAAAGGUUGAAAAAGAGUUCCUACAAAGGUUUUGGACAGUGAUUUUAACCCUAACGCCAAAAACCUUAAACCUUACCAUAGCCCCAUAACCUAUUACCCGGGUAUUACUUUUAGGAAGCCCGAACAACCAAAAUAUAUAUUUUUUUCAUUUUACAUUUUUGUUGGUGUAACCAACUCCAAAAGGUUGGAAAAGAGUUCCUACAAAGGUUUUGGACAGUGAUUUUAACCCUAAUACCAAAAACCUUAAACCUUACCAUAGCCCCAUAAUCUUAUACCCGGGUAUUACUUCUAGGAAGCCUGAACACCCCAAAUAUUUUUUUCUUCAUUUUUCAUUUUUUUUUGGUCUAACUAACUCCAAAAGGUUGAAAAAGAGUUCCUACAAAGGUUUUGGACAGUGAUUUCAACCCUAACGCCAAAAAACCUUAAACCUUACCAUAGCCCCAUAACCUAAUACCAGGGUAUUACUUUUAGGAAGCCUGAACACCCAAAAUAUUUUUUUUUCAUUUUUCUUUUUUUUUUUGGUCUAACUAACUCCAAAAGGUUGGAAAAGAGUUCCUACAAAGGUUUUGGACAGUGAUUUUAACCCUAACGCCAAAAACCUUAAACCUUACCCUAGCCUUAAAAUCUAAUACCCGGGUAUUACAUUCAGGAACCCCGAAAACCCCAAAUAUUGUUUUUUAAUUUUUCAUUUUUUUUUGGUCUAACUAACUCCAAAAGGUUGGAAAAGAGUUCCUACAAAGGUUUUGGACAGUGAUUUUAACCCUAACGCCAAAAACCUUAAACCUUACCCUAGCCUUAAAAUCUAAUACCCGGGUAUUACAUUCAGGAACCCCGAAAACCCCAAAUAUUGUUUUUUAAUUUUUCAUUUUUUUUUGGUCUAACUAACUCCAAAAGGUUGGAAAAGAGUUCCUACAAAGGUUUUGGACAGUGAUUUUAACCCUAACGCCAAAAAACUUAAACCUUACCAUAGCCCCAAAACCUAAUACCCGGGUAUUACUUUCAGGGAGCCCGAAAACCCCCAAUAAUAUUUUUUUCUUUUUUCAUAUUUUUUGGUCUAACUAACUCCAAAAGGUUGGAAAAGAGUUCCUACAAAGGUUUUGGACAGUGAUUUUAACCCUAACGCCAAAAACCUUAAACCUUACCAUAGCCCCAUAACCUAAUACCCGGGUAUUACUUUUAGGAAGCCCGAACACCCCAAAUAUUUUUUUUUUUCAUUUUACAUUUUUUUUUGGUCUAACUAACUCCAAAAGGUUGGAAAAGAGUUCCUACAAAGGUUUUGGACAGUGAUUUUAACCCUAAUGCCAAAAACCUUAAACCUUACCAUAGCCCCAUAAUCUUAUACCCGGGUAUUACUUCUAGGAAGCCUGAACACCCCAAAUAUUUUUUUCUUCAUUUUACAUUUUCUUUGGUCUAACUAAUUCCAAAAGGUUUGAAAGGAGCUCCUACAAAGUUUUUGGACAGUGAUUUUAACCCUAACGCCAAAAAACUUAAACCUUACUCUAGCCCCAUAACCUAAUACCCGGGUAUUACCUUCAGGAAGCCCGGAAACCCCAAAUAUUUUUGUUUUCAUUUUUCAUUCUUUUUUUGGUCUAACUAACUCCAAAAGGUUGGAAAAGAGUUCCUACAAAGGUUUUGGACAGUGAUUUUAAACCUAACGCCAAAACCUUAAACCUUACCAUGGCCCCAUAACCUAAUACCCGGGUAUUACUUUUAGGAAGCCUGAACACCCCAAAUAUAUAUUUUUUUCAUUUUACAUUUUUGUUGGUGUAACCAACUCCAAAAGGUUGGAAAAGAGUUCCUACAAAGGUUUUGGACAGUGAUUUUAAACCUAACGCCAAAACGUUAAACCUUACCAUAGCCCCAUAACCUAAUACCCGGGUAUUACUUUUAGGAAGCCUGAACACCCCAAAAAUUUUUUUUUUCAUUUUUCUUUUUUUUUUUGGUCUAACUAACUCCAAAAGGUUGGAAAAGAGUUCCUACAAAGGUUUUGGACAGUGAUUUUAACCCUAACGCCAAAAAACUUAAACCUUACCAUAGCCCCAAAACCUAAUACCCGGGUAUUACUUUCAGGGAGCCCGAAAACCCCCAAUAAUAUUUUUUUCUUUUUUCAUAUUUUUGGUCUAACUAACUCCAAAAGGUUGGAAAAGAGUUCCUACAAAGGUUUUGGACAGUGAUUUUAACCCUAACGCCAAAAAACUUAAACCUUACCAUAGCCCCAAAACCUAAUACCCGGGUAUUACUUUCAGGGAGCCCGAAAACCCCCAAUAAUAUUUUUUUCUUUUUUCAUAUUUUUUGGUCUAACUAACUCCAAAAGGUUGGAAAAGAGUUCCUACAAAGGUUUUGGACAGUGAUUUUAACCCUAACGCCAAAAACCUUAAACCUUACCCUAGCCCCAAAACUAAUACCCGGGAAUUACCUUCAGGAAGCCUGAACACCCCAAAUAUUUUUUUCUUCAUUUUACAUUUUUUUUUGGUCUAACUAACUCCAAAAGGUUGGAAAAGAGUUCCUACAAAGGUUUUGGACAGUGAUUUUAACCCUAACGCCAAAAAACUUAAACCUUACCCUAGCCUCAAAAUCUAAUACCCGGGUAUUACAUUCAGGAACCCCAAAAACCCCAAAUAUUGUUUUUUAAUUUUUCAUUUUUUUUUGGUCUAACUAACUCCAAAAGGUUGGAAAAGAGUUCCUACAAAGGUUUUGGACAGUGAUUUUAACCCUAACGCCAAAAAACUUAAACCUUACCAUAGCCCCAUAACCUAAUACCCGGGUAUUACUUUUAGGAAGCCUGAACACCCCAAAUAUUUUUUUUUCAUUUUUCUUUUUUUUUUGGUCUAACUAACUCCAAAAGGUUGGAAAAGAGUUCCUACAAAGGUUUUGGACAGUGAUUUUAACCCUAACGCCAAAAAACUUAAACCUUACCCUAGCCUUAAAAUCUAAUACCCGGGUAUUACAUUCAGGAAGCCCGAACACCCCAAAUAUUUCUUUUUCAUUUUUCAUUUUUUUUGGUGUAACCAACUCCAAAAGGUUGGAAAAGAGUUCCUACAAAGGUUUUGGACAGUGAUUUUAACCCUAACGCCAAAAACCUUAAACCUUACCAUAGCCCUAUAACCUAAUACCCAGGUAUUACUUUUAGGAAGCCUGAACACCCCAAAUAUUUUUUUUUCAUUUUUUUUUUUUUUUUUGGUCUAACUAACUCCAAAAGGUUGGAAAAGAGUUCCUACAAAGGUUUUGGACAGUGAUUUUAACCCUAACGCCAAAAAACUUAAACCUUACCCUAGCCUUAAAAUCUAAUACCCGGGUAUUACAAUCAGGAAGCCCGUAAACCCCAAAUAUUUUUUUUUUCAUUUUUCAUUUUUUUGGUCUAACUAACUCCAAAAGGUUGGAAAAGAGUUCCUACAAAGGUUUUGGACAGUGAUUUUAAUCCUAACGCCAAAAAACUUAAACCUUACCAUAGCCCCAUAACCUAAUACCCGGGUAUUACAUUCAGGAAGCCCGAAAACCCCAAAUAUUUUUUUUUCAUUUUUCAUUUUUUUUUGGUCUAACUAACUCCAAAAGGUUGGAAAAGAGUUCCUACAAAGGUUUUGGACAGUGAUUUUAACCCUAACGCCAAAAAACUUAAACCUUACCAUAGCCUUAAAAUCUAAUACCCGGGUAUUACAUUCAGGAAGCCUGAACACCCCAAAUAUUUUUUUUUCAUUUUUCUUUUUUUUUUGGUCUAACUAACUCCAAAAGGUUGGAAAAGAGUUCCUACAAAGGUUUUGGACAGUGAUUUUAACCCUAACGCCAAAAAACUUAAACCUUACCAUAGCCCCAAAACCUAAUACCCGGGUAUUACUUUCAGGGAGCCCGAAAACCCCCAAUAAUAUUUUUUUCUUUUUUCAUAUUUUUUGGUCUAACUAACUCCAAAAGGUUGGAAAAGAGUUCCUACAAAGGUUUUGGACAGUGAUUUUAACCCUAACGCCAAAAACCUUAAACCUUACCAUAGCCCCAUAACCUAAUACCCGGGUAUUACUUUUAGGAAGCCUGAACACCCCAAAUAUAUUUUUUUUAAUUUUUCAUUUUUUUUGGUCUAACUAACUCCAAAAGGUUGGAAAAGAGUUCCUACAAAGGUUUUGGACAGUGAUUUUAACCCUAACGCCAAAACCCUUAAACCUUUCCCUAGUCCCAAAACCUAAUACACGGGUAUUACUUUCAGGGAGCCCGAAAACUCCCAAUAAUAUUUUUUUCUUUUUUCAUAUUUUUUGGUCUAACUAACUCCAAAAGGUUGGAAAAGAGUUCCUACAAAGGUUUUGGACAGUGAUUUUAACCCUAACGCCAAAAACCUUAAACCUUACCCUAGCCUUGAAAUCUAAUACCCGGGUAUUACCUUCAGGAAGCCUGAACACCCCAAAUAUUUUUUUCUUCAUUUUACAUUUUUUUUGGUCUAACUAACUCCAAAAGGUUGGAAAAGAGUUCCUACAAAGGUUUUGGACAGUGAUUUUAACCCUAACGCCAAAAAACUUAAACCUUACCAUAGCCCCAAAACCUAAUACCCGGGUAUUACUUUCAGGAAGCCCGAAAACCCCCAAUAUAUUUUUUUCUUUUUUCAUAUUUUUUGGUCUAACUAACUCCAAAAGGUUGGAAAAGAGUUCCUACAAAGGUUUUGGACAGUGAUUUUAAACCUAACGCCAAAAACCUUAAACCUUACCCCAGCCUUAAAAUCUAAUACCCGGGUAUUACAUUCAGGAACCCCGAAAACCCCAAAUAUUGUUUUUUAAUUUUUCAUUUUUUUUUGGUCUAACUAACUCCAAAAGGUUGGAAAAGAGUUCCUACAAAGGUUUUGGACAGUGAUUUUAACCCUAACGCCAAAAAACUUAAACCUUACCAUAGCCCCAAAACCUAAUACCCGGGUAUUACUUUCAGGGAGCCCGAAAACCCCAAUAAUAUUUUUUUCUUUUUUCAUACUUUUUGGUCUAACUAACUCCAAAAGGUUGAAAAAGAGUUCCUACAAAGGUUUUGGACAGUGAUUUUAACCCUAACGCCAAAAACCUUCAACAUUACCAUAGCCCCAUAACCUAUUACCCCGGUAUUACUUUUAGGAAGCCCGAACAACCAAAAUAUAUUUUUUUUUCAUUUUACAUUUUUGUUGGUGUAGCCAAAUCCAAAAGGUUGGAAAAGAGUUCCUGCAAAGGUUUUGGACAGUGAUUUUAACCCUAAUGCCAAAAUCCUUAAACCUUACCAUAGCCCCAUAAUCUUUUACCCGGGUAUUACUUCUAGGAAGCCUGAACACCCCAAAUAUUUUUUUCUUCAUUUUUCAUUUUUUUUUGGUCUAACUAACUCCAAAAGGUUGAAAAAGAGUUCCUACAAAGGUUUUGGACAGUGAUUUUAACCCUAACGCCAAAAACCUUAAACCUUACCAUAGCCCCAUAACCUAAUACCCGGGUAUUACUUUUAGGAAGCCUGAACACCCAAAAUAUUUUUUUUUCAUUUUUCUUUUUUUUUUGGUCUAACUAACUCCAAAAGGUUGGAAAAGAGUUCCUACAAAGGUUUUGGACAGUGAUUUUAACCCUAACGCCAAAAACCUUAAACCUUACCCUAGCCUUAAAAUCUAAUACCGGGGUAUUACCUUCAGGAAGCCCGAACACCCCAAAUAUGUUUUUUUCAUUUUACAUUUUUGUUGGUGUAACCAACUCCAAAAGGUUGGACAAGAGUUCCUACAAAGGUUUUGGACAGUGAUUUUAACCCUAACGCCAAAAAACUUAAACCUUACCCUAGCCUUAAAAUCUAAUACCCGGGUAUUACAUUCAGGAAGCCCGAAACACCCAAAUAUAUAUUUUUUCAUUUUUCAUUUUUUUUUUUUGGUUUAACUAACUCCAAAAGGUUGGAAAAGAGUUCCUACAAAGGUUUUGGACAGUGAUUUUAACCCUAUCGCCAAAAAACUUAAACCUUACCCUAGCCUUAAAAUCUAAUACCCGGGUAUUACAUUCAGGAAGCCCGAAAACCCCAAAUAUAUGUUUUUUCAUUUUUCAUAUUUUUUUGGUUUAUCUAAUUCCAAAAGGUUGGAAAAGAGUUCCUACAAAGGUUUUGGACAGGGAUUUUAACCCUUAUGCCAAAAAACUUAAACCUUACCCUAGCCACAAAACCUAAUACCUGGGUAUUACUUUUAGGAAGCCUGAACUCCCCAAAUAUUUUUUUUUCAUUUUUCUUUUUUUUUUGGUCAAACUAACUCCAAAAGGUUGGAAAAGAGUUCCUACAAAGGUUUUGGACAGUGAUUUUAACCCUAACGCCAAAACCCUUAAACCUUUCCCUAGUCCCAAAACCUAAUACAUGGGUAUUACUUUCAGGGAGCCCGAAAACCCCCAAUAAUAUUUUUUUCUUUUUUCAUAUUUUUUGGUCUAACUAACUCCAAAAGGUUGGAAAAGAGUUCCUACAAAGGUUUUGGACAGUGAUUUUAACCCUAACGCCAAAAACCUUAAACCUUACCCUAGCCUCAAAAUCUAAUACCCGGGUAUUACAUUCAGGAACCCCGAAAACCCCAAAUAUUGUUUUUUAAUUUUUCAUUUUUUUUGGUCUAACUAACUCCAAAAGGUUGGAAAAGAGUUCCUACAAAGGUUUUGGACAGUGAUUUUAACCCUAACGCCAAAAAACUUAAACCUUACCCUAGCCUUAAAAUCUAAUACCCGGGUAUUAACCUUCAGGAAGCCUGAAAACCCCAAAUAUAUUUUUGUUCAUUUUUCAUUUUUGUUGGUGUAACUAACUCCAAAAGGUUGGAAAAGAGUUCCUACAAAGGUUUUGGACAGUGAUUUUAACCCUAACGCCAAAAAACUUAAACCUUACCCUAGCCUUAAAAUCUAAUACCCGGGUAUUACCUUCAGGAAGCCCGAACACCCCAAAUAUUUUUUUGUUCAUUUUACAUUUUUGUUGGUGUAACUAACUCCAAAAGGUUGAAAAAGAGUUCCUACAAAGGUUUUGGACAGUGAUUUUAACCCUAACGCCAAAAAACUUAAACCUUUCCCUGGCCUUAAAAUCUAAUACCCGGGUAUUACAAUCAGGGAGCCCGGUAAACCCCAAAUAUUUUUUUUUUCAUUUUUCAUUUUUUUUUUGGUCUAACUAACUCCAAAAGGUUGGAAAAGAGUUCCUACAAAGGUUUUGGACAGUGAUUUUAACCCUAACGCCAAAAACCUUAAACCUUACCAUAGCCCCAUAACCUAAUACCCGGGUAUUACUUUUAGGAAGCCUGAACACCCCAAAUAUUUUUUUUUCAUUUUUCUUUUUUUUUGGUCUAACUAACUCCAAAAGGUUGGAAAAGAGUUCCUACAAAGGUUUUGGACAGUGAUUUUAACCCUAACGCCAAAAAACUUAAACCUUACCAUAGCCCCAAAACCUAAUACCCGGGUAUUACUUUCAGGGAGCCCGAAAACCCCCAAUAAUAUUUUUUUCUUUUUUCAUAUUUUUUGGUCUAACUAACUCCAAAAGGUUGGAAAAGAGUUCCUACAAAGGUUUUGGACAGUGAUUUUAAACCUAACGCCAAAACGUUAAACCUUACCAUAGCCCAAUAACCUAAUACCCGGGUAUUACAUUCAGGAAGCCUGAACACCCCAAAUAUUUUUUUUUCAUUUUUCUUUUUUUUUGGUCUAACUAACUCCAAAAGGUUGGAAAAGAGUUCCUACAAAGGUUUUGGACAGUGAUUUUAACCCUAACGCCAAAAAACUUAAACCUUACCAUAGCCCCAUAACCUAAUACCCGGGUAUUACUUUCAGGGAGCCCGAAAACCCCCAAUAAUAUUUUUUUCUUUUUUCAUAUUUUUUGGUCUAACUAACUCCAAAAGGUUGGAAAAGAGUUCCUACAAAGGUUUUGGACAGUGAUUUUAACCCUAAUGCCAAAAAACUUAAACCUUACCCUAGCCUUAAAAUCUAAUACCCGGGUAUUACAUUCAGGAACCCCGAAAACCCCAAAUAUUGUUUUUUCAUUUUUCUUUUUUUUUGGUCUAACUAACUCCAAAAGGUUGGAAAAGAGUUCCUACAAAGGUUUUGGACAGUGAUUUUAACCCUAAUGCCAAAAAACUUAAACCUUACCCUAGCCUUAAAACCUAAUACCCGGGCAUUACUUUUAGGAAGCCUGAACACCCCAAAUAUAUUUUUUUUAAUUUUUCAUUUUUUUUGGUCUAACUAAAUCCAAAAGGUUGUUAAAGAGUUCCUACAAAGGUUUUGGACAGUGAUUUUAAACCUAACGCCAAAACGUUAAACCUUACGCCAAAAAACUUAAACCUUACCAUAGCCCCAAAACCUAAUACCCGGGUAUUACAUUCAGGAAGCCCGAAAACCCCCAAUAAUAUUUUUUUCUUUUUUCAUAUUUUUUGGUCUAACUAACUCCAAAAGGUUGGAAAAGAGUUCCUACAAAGGUUUUGGACAGUGAUUUUAACCCUAACGCCAAAAAACUUAAACCUUACCAUAGCCCCAAAACCUAAUACCCGGGUAUUACUUUCAGGGAGCCCGAAAACCCCCAAUAAUAUUUUUUUCUUUUUUCAUACUUUUUGGUCUAACUAACUCCAAAAGGUUGGAAAAGAGUUCCUACAAAGGUUUUGGACAGUGAUUUUAACCCUAACGCCAAAAAACUUAAACCUUUCCCUGGCCUUAAAAUCUAAUACCCGGGUAUUACAUUCAGGAAGCCCGUAAACCCCAAAUAAUUUUUUUUUCUUUUUUCAUAUUUUUUGGUCUAACUAACUCCAAAAGGUUGAAAAAGAGUUCCUACAAAGGUUUUGGACAGUGAUUUUAACCCUAACGCCAAAAACCUUAAACCUUACCAUAGCCCCAUAACCUAUUACCCGGGUAUUACUUUUAGGAAGCCCGAACAACCAAAAUAUAUUUUUUUUUCAUUUUACAUUUUUGUUGGUGUAACCAACUCCAAAAGGUUGGAAAAGAGUUCCUACAAAGGUUUUGGACAGUGAUUUUAACCCUAACGCCAAAAACCUUAAACCUUACCAUAGCCCCAUAACCUAAUACCCGGGUAUUACUUUUAGGAAGCCUGAACACCCCAAAUAUUUUUUUCUUCAUUUUUCAUUUUUUUUUGGUCUAACUAACUCCAAAAGGUUGGAAAAGAGUUCCUACAAAGGUUUUGGACAGUGAUUUUAACCCUAACGCCAAAAACCUUAAACCUUACCAUAGCCCCAUAACCUAAUACCCGGGUAUUACUUUUAGGAAGCCUGAACACCCAAAAUAUUUUUUUUUCAUUUUUCUUUUUUUUUUGGUCUAACUAACUCCAAAAGGUUGGAAAAGAGUUCCUACAAAGGUUUUGGACAGUGAUUUUAACCCUAACGCCAAAAACCUUAAACCUUACCCUAGCCUUAAAAUCUAAUACCCGGGUAUUACCUUCAGGAAGCCCGAACACCCCAAAUAUUUUUUUUUUCAUUUUUCAUUUUUUUUGGUCUAACUAACUCCAAAAGGUUGGAAAAGAGUUCCUACAAAGGUUUUGGACAGUGAUUUUAACCCUAACGCCAAAAACCUUAAACCUUACCCUAGCCUUAAAAUCUAAUACCCGGGUAUUACAUUCAGGAAGCCCGAAACACCCAAAUAUAUAUUUUUUCAUUUUUCAUUUUUUUUUUUGGUUUAACUAACUCCAAAAGGUUGGAAAAGAGUUCCUACAAAGGUUUUGGACAGUGAUUUUAACCCUAACGCCAAAAAACUUAAACCUUACCCUAGCCAAAAAAUCUAAUACCCGGGUAUUACAUUCAGGAAGCCAGAAAACCCCAAAUAUAUUUUUUUCAUUUUUCAUAUUUUUUUGGUCUAACUAACUCCAAAAGGUUGGAAAAGAGUUCCAACAAAGGUUUUGGACAGUGAUUUUAACCCUUAUGCCAAAAAACUUAAACCUUACCCUAGCCACAAAACCUAAUACCUGGGUAUUACUUUUAGGAAGCCUGAACUCCCCAAAUAUUUUUUUUUCAUUUUUCUUUUUUUUUUGGUCAAACUAACUCCAAAAGGUUGGAAAAGAGUUCCUACAAAGGUUUUGGACAGUGAUUUUAACCCUAACGCCAAAACCCUUAAACCUUUCCCUAGUCCCAAAACCUAAUACAUGGGUAUUACUUUCAGGGAGCCCGAAAACCCCCAAUAAUAUUUUUUUCUUUUUUCAUAUUUUUUGGUCUAACUAACUCCAAAAGGUUGGAAAAGAGUUCCUACAAAGGUUUUGGACAGUGAUUUUAACCCUAACGCCAAAAACCUUAAACCUUACCCUAGCCUCAAAAUCUAAUACCCGGGUAUUACAUUCAGGAACCCCGAAAACCCCAAAUAUUGUUUUUUAAUUUUUCAUUUUUUUUUGGUCUAACUAACUCCAAAAGGUUGGAAAAGAGUUCCUACAAAGGUUUUGGACAGUGAUUUUAACCCUAACGCCAAAAAACUUAAACCUUACCCUAGCCUUAAAAUCUAAUACCCGGGUAUUAACCUUCAGGAAGCCUGAAAACCCCAAAUAUAUUUUUUUCAUUUUACAUUUUUGUUGGUGUAACUAACUCCAAAAGGUUGGAAAAGAGUUCCUACAAAGGUUUUGGACAGUGAUUUUAACCCUAACGCCAAAAAACUUAAACCUUACCCUAGCCUUAAAAUCUAAUACCCGGGUAUUACCUUCAGGAAGCCCGAACACCCCAAAUAUUUUUUUCAUUUUACAUUUUUGUUGGUGUAACCAACUCCAAAAGGUUGGAAAAGAGUUCCUACAAAGGUUUUGGACAGUGAUUUUAACCCUAACGCCAAAAAACUUAAACCUUUCCCUGGCCUUAAAAUCUAAUACCCGGGUAUUACAAUCAGGGAGCCCGGUAAACCCCAAAUAUUUUUUUUUUCAUUUUUCAUUUUUUUUUGGUCUAACUAACUCCAAAAGGUUGGAAAAGAGUUCCUACAAAGGUUUUGGACAGUGAUUUUAACCCUAACGCCAAAAACCUUAAACCUUACCAUAGCCCCAUAACCUAAUACCCAGGUAUUACUUUUAGGAAGCCUGAACACCCCAAAUAUUUUUUUUUCAUUUUUCUUUUUUUUUUGGUCUAACUAACUCCAAAAGGUUGGAAAAGAGUUCCUACAAAGGUUUUGGACAGUGAUUUUAACCCUAACGCCAAAAAACUUAAACCUUACCAUAGCCCCAAAACCUAAUACCCGGGUAUUACUUUCAGGGAGCCCGAAAACCCCCAAUAAUAUUUUUUUCUUUUUUCAUAUUUUUUUGGUCUAACUAACUCCAAAAGGUUGGAAAAGAGUUCCUACAAAGGUUUUGGACAGUGAUUUUAACCCUAACGCCAAAAAACUUAAACCUUACCAUAGCCCCAUAACCUAAUACCCGGGUAUUACUUUCAGGAAGCCUGAACACCCCAAAUAUUUUUUUUCAUUUUUCUUUUUUUUUUGGUCUAACUAACUCCAAAAGGUUGGAAAAGAGUUCCUACAAAGGUUUUGGACAGUGAUUUUAACCCUAACGCCAAAAAACUUAAACCUUACCAUAGCCCCAUAACCUAAUACCCGGGUAUUACUUUCAGGGAGCCCGAAAACCCCCAAUAAUAUUUUUUUCUUUUUUCAUACUUUUUGGUCUAACUAACUCCAAAAGGUUGGAAAAGAGUUCCUACAAAGGUUUUGGACAGUGAUUUUAACCCUAACGCCAAAAAACUUAAACCUUACCCUAGCCUUAAAAUCUAAUACCCGGGUAUUACAUUCAGGAACCCCGAAAACCCCAAAUAUUGUUUUUUCAUUUUUCUUUUUUUUUGGUCUAACUAACUCCAAAAGGUUGGAAAAGAGUUCCUACAAAGGUUUUGGACAGUGAUUUUAACCCUAACGCCAAAAAACUUAAACCUUACCCUAGCCUUAAAACCUAAUACCCGGGUAUUACUUUUAGGAAGCCCGAACACCCCAAAUAUAUUUUUUUUAAUUUUUCAUUUUUUUUGGUCUAACUAACUCCAAAAGGUUGUUAAAGAGUUCCUACAAAGGUUUUGGACAGUGAUUUUAACCCUAACGCCAAAAAACUUAAACCUUACCAUAGCCCCAAAACCUAAUACCCGGGUAUUACAUUCAGGAAGCCCGAAAACCCCCAAUAAUAUUUUUUUCUUUUUUCAUAUUUUUUGGUCUAACUAACUCCAAAAGGUUGGAAAAGAGUUCCUACAAAGGUUUUGGACAGUGAUUUUAACCCUAACGCCAAAAAACUUAAACCUUACCAUAGCCCCAAAACCUAAUACCCGGGUAUUACUUUCAGGGAGCCCGAAAACCCCCAAUAAUAUUUUUUUCUUUUUUCAUAAUUUUUGGUCUAACUAACUCCAAAAGGUUGGAAAAGAGUUCCUACAAAGGUUUUGGACAGUGAUUUUAACCCUAACGCCAAAAAACUUAAACCUUUCCCUGGCCUUAAAAUCUAAUACCCGGGUAUUACAUUCAGGAAGCCCGUAAACCCCAAAUAUUUUUUUUUCAUUUUUCAUAUUUUUUUUUUGGUCUAACUAACUCCAAAAGGUUGGAAAAGAGUUCCUACAAAGGUUUUGGACAGUGAUUUUAACCCUAACGCCAAAAACCUUAAACCUUACCAUAGCCCCAUGACCUAAUACCCGGGUAUUACUUUUAGGAAGCCUGAACACCCCAAAUAUAUUUUUUUUAAUUUUUCAUUUUUUUUGGUCUAACUAAAUCCAAAAGGUUGUUAAAGAGUUCCUACAAAGGUUUUGGACAGUGAUUUUAACCCUAACGCCAAAAAACUUAAACCUUACCAUAGCCCCAUAACCUAAUACCCGGGUAUUACUUUUAGGAAGCCUGAACACCCCAAAUAUUUUUUUUUCAUUUUUCUUUUUUUUUUGGUCUAACUAACUCCAAAAGGUUGGAAAAGAGUUCCUACAAAGGUUUUGGACAGUGAUUUUAACCCUAACGCCAAAAAACUUAAACCUUUCCCUAGCCCCAAAACCUAAUACCCGGGUAUUACUUUCAGGGAGCCCAAAAACCCCCAAUAAUAUUUUUUUCUUUUUUCAUAUUUUUUGGUCUAACUAACUCCAAAAGGUUGGAAAAGAGUUCCUACAAAGGUUUUGGACAGUGAUUUUAACCCUAACGCAAAAAAACUUAAACCUUUCCCUGGCCUUAAAAUCUAAUACCCGGGUAUUACAUUCAGGAAGCCCGUAAACCCCAAAUAUUUUUUUUUUCAUUUUUCAUUUUUUUUUUGGUCUAACUAACUCCAAAAGGUUGAAAAAGAGUUCCUACAAAGGUUUUGGACAGUGAUUUUAACCCUAAUGCCAAAAACCUUAAACCUUACCAUAGCCCCAUAACCUAUUACCCGGGUAUUACUUUUAGGAAGCCCGAACAACCAAAAUAUAUAUUUUUUUUAUUUUACAUUUUUGUUGGUGUAACCAACUCCAAAAGGUUGGAAAAGAGUUCCUGCAAAGGUUUUGGACAGUGAUUUUAACCCUAAUGCCAAAAACCUUAAACCUUACCAUAGCCCCAUAACCUAAUACCCGGGUAUUCCCUUCAGGAAGCCCGAAAACCCCAUAUAUAUCUGUUUUCAUUUUACAUUUUUGUUGGUGUAACCAACUCCAAAAGGUUGGAAAAGAGUUCCUACAAAGGUUUUGGACAGUGAUUUUAACCCUAAUACCAAAAACCUUAAACCUUACCAUAGCCCCAUAAUCUUAUACCCGGGUAUUACUUCUAGGAAGCCUGAACACCCCAAAUAUUUUUUUCUUCAUUUUACAUUUUCUUUGGUCUAACUAACUCCAAAAGGUUUGAAAGAAGUUCCUACAAAGGUUUUGGACAGUGAUUUUAACCCUAACGCCAAAAAACUUGAACCUUACUCUAGCCCCAUAACAUAAUACCCUUGUAUUACCUUCAGGAAGCCCGGAAACCCCAAAUAUUUUUUUUUUCUUUUCAUUUUCAUUUUUUUUUGGUCUAACUAACUCCAAAAGGUUGGAAAAGAGUUCCUACAAAGGUUUUGGACAGUGAUUUUAACCCUAACGCCAAAAAACUUAAACCUUACCCUAGCCUUAAAAUCUAAUACCCGGGUAUUACCUUCAGGAAGCCCGAAAACCCCAAAUAUUUUUUUUUUCAUUUUUCUUUUUUUUUUUUGGUCUAACUAACUCCAAAAGGUUGGAAAAGAGUUCCUACAAAGGUUUUGGACAGUGAUUUUAACCCUAACGCCAAAAACCUUAAACCUUACCAUAGCCCCAUAACCUAAUACCCGGGUAUUACUUUUAGGAAGCCUGAACACCCCAAAUAUAUAUUUUUUCAUUUUUCAUUUUUUUUUUGGUCUAACUAACUCCAAAAGGUUGGAAAAGAGUUCCUACAAAGGUUUUGGACAGUGAUUUUAACCCUAACGCCAAAACGUUAAACCUUACCAUAGCCCCAUAACCUAAUACCCGGGUAUUACUUUUAGGAAGCCUGAACACCCCCAAUAAUAUUUUUUUCUUUUUUCAUAUUUUUUGGUCUAACUAACUCCAAAAGGUUGGAAAAGAGUUCCUACAAAGGUUUUGGACAGUGAUUUUAACCCUAACGCCAAAAAACUUAAACCUUUCCCUGGCCUUAAAAUCUAAUACCCGGGUAUUACAUUCAGGAAGCCCGUGAACCCCAAAUAAUUUUUUUUUCAUUUUUCAUUUUUUUUUUUGUCUAACUAACUCUAAAAGGUUGAAAAAGAGUUCCUACAAAGGUUUUGGACAGUGAUUUUAACCCUAACGCCAAAAACCUUAAACCUUACCAUAGCCCCAUAACCUAAUACCCGGGUAUUACUUUUAGGAAGCCUGAACACCCCAAAUAUAUUUUUUUUAAUUUUUCAUUUUUUUUUGGUCUAACUAACUCCAAAAGGUUGGAAAAGAGUUCCUACAAAGGUUUUGGACAGUGAUUUUAACCCUAACGCCAAAAACCUUAAACCUUUCCCUAGUCCCAAAACCUAAUACCCGGGUAUUACUUUCAGGGAGCCCGAAAACCCCCAAUAAUAUUUUUUUCUUUUUUCAUAUUUUUUGGUCUAACUAACUCCAAAAGGUUGGAAAAGAGUUCCUACAAAGGUUUUGGACAGUGAUUUUAACCCUAACGCCAAAAACCUUAAACCUUACCCUAGCCUUGAAAUCUAAUACCCGGGUAUUACCUUCAGGAAGCCCGAACACCCCAAAUAUUUUUUUCUUCAUUUUACAUUUUUGUUGGUGUAACCAACUCCAAAAGGUUGGAAAAGAGUUCCUACAAAGGUUUUGGACAGUGAUUUUAACCCUAACGCCAAAAAACCUUAAACCUUACCCUUGCCCCAAAAACCUAAUACCCGGGUAUUACAUUCAGGAACCCCGAAAACCCCAAAUAUUGUUUUUUAAUUUUUCAUUUUUUUUUGGUCUAACUAACUCCAAAAGGUUGGAAAAGAGUUCCUACAAAGGUUUUGGACAGUGAUUUUAACCCUAACGCCAAAAAACUUAAACCUUACCAUAGCCCCAUAACCUAAUACCCGGGUAUUACUUUCAGGAAGCCUGAACACCCCAAAUAUUUUUUUUUCAUUUUUCUUUUUUUUUUUUGGUCUAACUAACUCCAAAAGGUUGGAAAAGAGUUCCUACAAAGGUAUAGGACAGUGAUUUUAAACCUAAUGCCAAAAAAACUUAAACCUUACCCUGGCCUUAAAAUCUAAUACCCGGGUAUUACAUUCAGGAAGCCCGAACACCCCAAAUAUUUUUUUUUUCAUUUUACAUUUUUUUUGGUGUAACCAACUCCAAAAGGUUGGAAAAGAGUUCCUACAAAGGUUUUGGACAGUGAUUUUAACCCUAACGCCAAAAACCUUAAACCUUACCAUAGCCCCAAAACCUAAUACCCGGGUAUUACUUUUAGGAAGCCUGAACUCCCCAAAUAUUGUUUUUUCAUUUUUCUUUUUUUUUGGUCUAACUCCAAAAGUUUGGAAAAGAGUUCCUACAAAGGUUUUGGACAGUGAUUUUAACCCUAACGCCAAAAAACUUAAACCUUACCCUGGCCUUAAAAUCUAAUACCCGGGUAUUACAUUCAGGAAGCCCGUAAACCCCAAAUAUUUUUUUUUUCAUUUUUCAUUUUUUUUUGGUCUAACUAACUCCAAAAGGUUGAAAAAGAGUUCCUACAAAGGUUUUGGACAGUGAUUUUAACCCUAACGCCAAAAACCUUAAACCUUACCAUAGCCCCAUAACCUAAUACCCGGGUAUUACUUUCAGGAAGCCUGAACACCCAAAAUAUUUUUUUUUCAUUUUUCUUUUUUUUUUGGUCUAACUAACUCCAAAAGGUUGGAAAAGAGUUCCUACAAAGGUUUUGGACAGUGAUUUUAACCCUAACGCCAAAAAACUUAAACCUUACCAUAGCCCCAAAACCUAAUACCCGGGUAUUACUUUCAGGGAGCCCGAAAACCCCCAAUAAUAUUUUUUUCUUUUUUCAUACUUUUUGGUCUAACUAACUCCAAAAGGUUGGAAAAGAGUUCCUACAAAGGUUUUGGACAGUGAUUUUAACCCUAACGCCAAAAAACUUAAACCUUACCCUAGCCCCAAAACCUAAUACCCGGGUAUUACUUUCAGGAAGCCCGAAAACCCCCAAAUAUUUUUUUCUUUUUUCAUAUUUUUUGGUCUAACUAACUCCAAAAGGUUGGAAAAGAGUUCCUACAAAGGUUUUGGACAGUGAUUUUAACCCUAACGCCAAAAAACUUAAACCUUACCAUAGCCCCAAAACCUAAUACCCGGGUAUUACUUUCAGGAAGCCCGAAAACCCCCAAUAAUAUUUUUUUCUUUUUUCAUAUUUUUUGGUCUAACUAACUCCAAAAGGUUGGAAAAGAGUUCCUACAAAGGUUUUGGACAGUGAUUUUAACCCUAACGCCAAAAAACUUAAACCUUUCCCUGGCCUUAAAAUCUAAUACCCGGGUAUUACAUUCAGGAAGCCCGUAAACCCCAAAUAUUUUUUUUUUCAUUUUUCAUUUUUUUUUUGGUCUAACUAACUCCAAAAGGUUGGAAAAGAGUUCCUACAAAGGUUUUGGACAGUGAUUUUAACCCUAACGCCAAAAACCUUAAACCUUACCAUAGCCCCAUAACCUAAUACCCGGGUAUUACUUUUAGGAAGCCUGAACACCCCAAAUACUAUUUUUUCAUUUUUCAUUUUUUUUUGGUCUAACCAACUCCAAAAGGUUGGAAAAGUGUUCCUACAAAGGUUUUGGACAGUGAUUUUAACCCUAACGCCAAAAACUUAAACCUUACCAUAGCCCCAUAACCUAAUACCCGGGUAUUACUUUUAGGAAGCCUGAACACCCCAAAUAUUUUUUUUUCAUUUUUCUUUUUUUUUGGUCUAACUAACUCCAAAAGGUUGGAAAAGAGUUCCUACAAAGGUUUUGGACAGUGAUUUUAACCCUAACGCCAAAAAACUUAAACCUUACCAUAGCCCCAAAACCUAAUUCCCGGGUAUUACUUUCAGGAGCCCGAAAACCCCCAAUAAUAUUUUUUUUCUUUUUUCAUAUUUUUUGGUCUAACUAACUCCAAAAGGUUGGAAAAGAGUUCCUACAAAGGUUUUGGACAGUGAUUUUAACCCUAACGCCAAAAAACUUAAACCUUACCAUAGCCCCAAAACCUAAUACCCGGGUAUUACUUUCAGGGAGCCCGAAAACCCCCAAUAAUAUUUUUUUCUUUUUUCAUAUUUUUUGGUCUAACUAACUCCAAAAGGUUGGAAAAGAGUUCCUACAAAGGUUUUGGACAGUGAUUUUAACCCUAACGCCAAAAAACUUAAACCUUACCCUGGCCUUAAAAUCUAAUACCCGGGUAUUACUUUCAGGAAGCCCGUAAACCCCAAAUAUUUUUUUUUUCAUUUUUCAUUUUUUUUUUGGUCUAACUAACUCCAAAAGGUUGGAAAAGAGUUCCUACAAAGGUUUUGGACAGUGAUUUUAACCCUAACGCCAAAAAACUUAAACCUUAACAUAGCCCCAUAACCUAUUACCCGGGUAUUACUUUCAGGAAGCCCGAACAACCAAAAUAUAUAUUUUUUUCAUUUUACAUUUUUGUUGGUGUAACCAACUCCAAAAGGUUGGAAAAGAGUUCCUGCAAAGGUUUUGGACAGUGAUUUUAACCCUAAUGCCAAAAACCUUAAACCUUACCAUAGCCCCAUAAUCUUAUACCCGGGUAUUACUUCUAGGAAGCCUGAACACCCAAAAUAUUUUUUUUUCAUUUUUCAUUUUUUUUUGGUCUAACUAACUCCAAAAGGUUGGAAAAGAGUUCCUACAAAGGUUUUGGACAGUGAUUUUAACCCUAACGCCAAAAAACUUAAACCUUACUCUAGCCCCAUAACAUAAUACCCUUGUAUUACCUUCAGGAAGCCCGGAAACCCCAAAUAUUUUUUUUUCAUUUUUCAUUCUUUUUUUGGUCUAACUAACUCCAAAAGGUUGGAAAAGAGUUCCUACAAAGGUUUUGGACAGUGAUUUUAAACCUAACGCCAAAACGUUAAACCUUACCAUAGCCCCAUAACCUAAUACCCGGGUAUUACUUUUAGGAAGCCUGAACACCCCAAAUAUUUUUUUUUCAUUUUACAUUUUUGUUGGUGUAACCAACUCCAAAAGGUUGGAAAAGAGUUCCUACAAAGGUUUUGGACAGUGAUUUUAAACCUAACGCCAAAACGUUAAACCUUACCAUAGCCCCAUAACCUAAUACCCGGGUAUUACUUUUAGGAAGCCUGAACACCCAAAUAUUUUUUUUUCAUUUUUCUUUUUUUUUUUGGUCUAACUAACUCCAAAAGGUUGGAAAAGAGUUCCUAACAAAGGUUUUGGACAGUGAUUUUAACCCUAACGCCAAAAACCUUAAACCUUACCCUAGCCUUAAAAUCUAAUACCCGGGUAUUACAUUCAGGAAGCCCGAAAACCCCAAAUAUUUUUUUUUAAUUUUUCAUUUUUUUUUGGUCUAACUAACUCCAAAAGGUUGGAAAAGAGUUCCUACAAAGGUUUUGGACAGUGAUUUUAACCCUAACGCCAAAAAACUUAAACCUUACCAUAGCCCCAAAACCUAAUACCCGGGUAUUACUUUCAGGGAGCCCGAAAACCCCCAAUAAUAUUUUUUUCUUUUUUCAUAUUUUUUGGUCUAACUAACUCCAAAAGGUUGGAAAAGAGUUCCUACAAAGGUUUUGGACAGUGAUUUUAACCCUAACGCCAAAAAACUUAAACCUUUCCCUGGCCUUAAAAUCUAAUACCCGGGUAUUACAUUCAGGAAGCCCGUAAACCCCAAAUAUAUAUUUUUUCAUUUUUCAUUUUUUUUUUGGUCUAACUAACUCCAAAAGGUUGAAAAAGAGUUCCUACAAAGGUUUUGGACAGUGAUUUUAACCCUAACGCCAAAAACCUUAAACCUUACCAUAGCCCCAUAACCUAAUACCCGGGUAUUACUUUUAGGAAGCCUGAACACCCCAAAUAUUUUUUUUUCAUUUUUCUUUUUUUUUUGGUCUAACUAACUCCAAAAGGUUGGAAAAGAGUUCCUACAAAGGUUUUGGACAGUGAUUUUAACCCUAACGCCAAAAACCUUAAACCUUACCAUAGCCCCAUAACCUAAUACCCGGGUAUUACAUUCAGGAACCCCGAAAACCCCAAAUAUUGUUUUUUAAUUUUUCUUUUUUUUUUUGGUCUAACUAACUCCAAAAGGUUGGAAAAGAGUUCCUACAAAGGUUUUGGACAGUGAUUUUAACCCUAACGCCAAAAAACUUAAACCUUACCCUGGCCUUAAAAUCUAAUACCCGGGUAUUACAUUCAGGAAGCCCGUAAACCCCAAAUAUUUUUUUUUUUCAUUUUUCAUUUUUUUUUGGUCUAACUAACUCCAAAAGGUUGGAAAAGAGUUCCUACAAAGGUUUUGGACAGUGAUUUUAAACCUAACGCCAAAACCUUAAACCUUACCAUAGCCCCAUAACCUAAUACCCGGGUAUUACUUUUAGGAAGCCUGAACACCCAAAAUAUUUUUUUUUCAUUUUUCUUUUUUUUUUGGUCUAACUAACUCCAAAAGGUUGGAAAAGAGUUCCUACAAAGGUUUUGGACAGUGAUUUUAACCCUAACGCCAAAAACCUUAAACCUUACCCUAGCCUUAAAAUCUAAUACCCGGGUAUUACUUCCAGGAAGCCCGAAAACCCCAAAUAUGUUUUUUUUCAUUUUUCAUUUUUUUUUGGUCUAACUAACUCCAAAAGGUUGGAAAAGAGUUCCUACAAAGGUUUUGGACAGUGAUUUUAACCCUAACGCCAAAAAACUUAAACCUUACCAUAGCCCCAAAACCUAAUACCCGGGUAUUACUUUCAGGAAGCCCGAAAACCCCAAUAUAUUUUUUUCUUUUUUCAUAUUUUUUGGUCUAACUAACUCCAAAAGGUUGGAAAAGAGUUCCUACAAAGGUUUUGGACAGUGAUUUUAACCCUAACGCCAAAAAACUUAAACCUUACCCUAGCCCCAAAACCUAAUACCCGGGUAUUACAUUCAGGAACCCCGAAAACCCCAAAUAUUGUUUUUUAAUUUUUCAUUUUUUUUUGGUCUAACUAACUCCAAAAGGUUGGAAAAGAGUUCCUACAAAGGUUUUGGACAGUGAUUUUAACCCUAACGCCAAAAAACUUAAACCUUACCAUAGCCCCAAAACCUAAUACCCGGGUAUUACUUUCAGGAAGCCCGAAAACCCCCAAUAAUAUUUUUUUCUUUUUUCAUAUUUUUUGGUCUAACUAACUCCAAAAGGUUGAAAAAGAGUUCCUACAAAGGUUUUGGACAGUGAUUUUAAACCUAACGCCAAAAACCUUAAACAUUACCAUAGCCCCAAAACAUAAUACCCGGGUAUUACUUUCAGGAAGCCCGAAAACCCCAAAUAUUUUUUUUCUUUUUUCAUAUUUUUUGGUCUAACUAACUCCAAAAGGUUGGAAAAGAGUUCCUACAAAGGUUUUGGACAGUGAUUUUAACCCUAACGCCAAAAACCUUAAACCUUACCCUAGCCUUAAAAUCUAAUACCCGGGUAUUACAUUCAGGAACCCCGAAAACCCCAAAUAUUGUUUUUUAAUUUUUCAUUUUUUUUUGGUCUAACUAACUCCAAAAGGUUGGAAAAGAGUUCCUACAAAGGUUUUGGACAGUGAUUUUAACCCUAACGCCAAAAAACUUAAACCUUACCAUAGCCCCAAAACCUAAUACCCGGGUAUUACUUUCAGGGAGCCCGAAAACCCCCAAUAAUAUUUUUUUCUUUUUUCAUAUUUUUUGGUCUAACUAACUCCAAAAGGUUGGAAAAGAGUUCCUACAAAGGUUUUGGACAGUGAUUUUAACCCUAACGCCAAAAACUUAAACCUUACCCUAGCCCCAUAAAAUCCACUACCCAGGUAUUACCCUCAGGCAGCCUGGAAACCCCAAAUAUUUUUUUUUCAUUUUUCAUUCUUUUUUUGGUCUAACUAACUCCAAAAGGUUGGAAAAGAGUUCCUACAAAGGUUUUGGACAGUGAUUUUAACCCUAACGCCAAAACCUUAAACCUUACCAUAGCCCCAUAACCUAAUACCCGGGUAUUACUUUCAGGAAGCCUGAACACCCCAAAUAUUUUUUUUUCAUUUUUCAUUUUUUUUGGUCUAACUAACUCCAAAAGGUUGGAAAAGAGUUCCUACAAAGGUUUUGGACAGUGAUUUUAACCCUAACGCCAAAAAACUUAAACCUUACCAUAGCCCCAUAACCUAAUACCCGGGUAUUACUUUUAGGAAGCCUGAACACCCCAAAUAUUUUUUUUUCAUUUUUCUUUUUUUUUGGUCUAACUAACUCCAAAAGGUUGGAAAAGAGUUCCUACAAAGGUUUUGGACAGUGAUUUUAACCCUAACGCCAAAAAACUUAAACCUUACCAUAGCCCCAAAACCUAAUACCCGGGUAUUACUUUCAGGGAGCCCGAAAACCCCCAAUAAUAUUUUUUUCUUUUUUCAUACUUUUUGGUCUAACUAACUCCAAAAGGUUGGAAAAGAGUUCCUACAAAGGUUUUGGACAGUGAUUUUAACCCUAACGCCAAAAAACUUAAACCUUACCAUAGCCCCAUAACCUAAUACCCGGGUAUUACUUUCAGGAAGCCUGAACACCCCAAAUAUUUUUUUUUCAUUUUUCUUUUUUUUUUGGUCUAACUAACUCCAAAAGGUUGGAAAAGAGUUCCUACAAAGGUUUUGGACAGUGAUUUUAACCCUAACGCCAAAAAACUUAAACCUUACCAUAGCCCCAAAACCUAAUACCCGGGUAUUACUUUCAGGGAGCCCGAAAACCCCAAUAAUAUUUUUUUCUUUUUUCAUAUUUUUUGGUCUAACUAACUCCAAAAGGUUGGAAAAGAGUUCCUACAAAGGUUUUGGACAGUGAUUUUAACCCUAACGCCAAAAAACUUAAACCUUUCCCUGGCCUUAAAAUCUAAUACCCGGGUAUUACAUUCAGGAAGCCCGUAAACCCCAAAUAUAUAUUUUUUCAUUUUUCAUUUUUUUUUGGUCUAACUAACUCCAAAAGGUUGGAAAAGAGUUCCUACAAAGGUUUUGGACAGUGAUUUUAACCCUAACGCCAAAAACCUUAAACCUUACCAUAGCCCCAUAACCUAAUACCCAGGUAUUACUUUUAGGAAGCCUGAACACCCCAAAUAUUUUUUUUUCAUUUUUCUUUUUUUUUUUGGUCUAACUAACUCCAAAAGGUUGGAAAAGAGUUCCUACAAAGGUUUUGGACAGUGAUUUUAACCCUAACGCCAAAAAACUUAAACCUUACCCUAGCCUUAAAAUCUAAUACCCGGGUAUUACAUUCAGGAACCCCGAAAACCCCAAAUAUUGUUUUUUAAUUUUUAAUUUUUUUUUGGUCUAACUAACUCCAAAAGGUUGGAAAAGAGUUCCUACAAAGGUUUUGGACAGUGAUUUUAACCCUAACGCCAAAAAACUUAAACCUUACCAUAGCCCCAAAACCUAAUACCCGGGUAUUACUUUCAGGAAGCCCGAAAACCCCCAAUAAUAUUUUUUUCUUUUUUCAUAUUUUUUGGUCUAACUAACUCCAAAAGGUUGGAAAAGAGUUCCUACAAAGGUUUUGGACAGUGAUUUUAACCCUAACGCCAAAAACCUUAAACCUUACCCUAGCCUUAAAAUCUAAUACCCGGGUAUUACAUUCAGGAACCCCGUAAACCCCAAAUAUUUUUUUUUUUCAUUUUUUUUUUUUUUUUGGUCUAACUAACUCCAAAAGGUUGGAAAAGAGUUCCUACAAAGGUUUUGGACAGUGAUUUCAACCCUAACGCCAAAAACCUUAAACCUUACCAUAGCCCCAUAACCUAAUACCAGGGUAUUACUUUUAGGAAGCCUGAACACCCAAAAUAUUUUUUUUUCAUUUUUCUUUUUUUUUUUUUUGGUCUAACUAACUCCAAAAGGUUGGAAAAGAGUUCCUACAAAGGUUUUGGACAGUGAUUUUAACCCUAACGCCAAAAACCUUAAACCUUACCCUAGCCUUAAAAUCUAAUACCCGGGUAUUACAUUCAGGAACCCCGAAAACCCCAAAUAUUGUUUUUUAAUUUUUAAUUUUUUUUUGGUCUAACUAACUCCAAAAGGUUGGAAAAGAGUUCCUACAAAGGUUUUGGACAGUGAUUUUAACCCUAAC